AUGAACGCUGGCGGCGUGCCUCAUACAUGCAAGUCGCGCGAACAGACGAGGAGCUUGCUCCUCUGACGUUAGCGGCGGACGGGUGAGUAACACGUGGAUAACCUACCUAUAAGACUGGGAUAACUUCGGGAAACCGGAGCUAAUACCGGAUAAUAUAUUGAACCGCAUGGUUCAAUAGUGAAAGACGGUUUUGCUGUCACGUAUAGAUGGAUCCGCGCCGCAUUAGCUAGUUGGUAAGGUAACGGCUUACCAAGGCGACGAUGCGUAGCCGAACUGAGAGGGUGAUAGGCCACCCUGGAACUGAGCCACGGUCCAGACUCCUACGGGAGGCAGCAGUAGGGAAUCUUCCGCAAUGGGCGAAAGCCUGACGGAGCAACGCCGCGUGAGUGAUGAAGGUCUUCGGAUCGUAAAACUCUGUUAUUAGGGAAGAACAAAUGUGUAAGUAACUAUGCACGUCUUGACGGUACCUAAUCAGAAAGCCACGGCUAACUACGUG
rnacentral:rRNA from 1 species